GACGAACGCUGGCGGCGUGCUUAACACAUGCAAGUGGAGCGACGAACCGGGCUUCGGCCCGGGGCAAAGCCGCGAACGGGUGAGUAUCACGUGGGUAACCUGCCCCGAUGACCGGGACAACCCGAGGAAACUCGGGCUAAUACCGGAUGUGCUCUCAAUCCACCAGGGUUGAGAACAAAGGAAGCUUCGGCCUCCGCAUUGGGAUGGGCCCGCGGGCCAUUAGCGUGUUGGUGAGGUAAAGGCUACCCAAGGCAACGAUGGUUAGCUGGUCUGCGAGGACGAUACGCCACACUGGGACUGAGACACGGGCCAGACGCCUACGGGAGGCAGCAGUGGGGAGUCUUGCGCAAUGCGCGAAAGCGUGACGCAGCAACGCCGCGUGAGGGAAGAAGGCCUUCGGGUUGUAAACCUCUUUCAGGAGGGACGAAGGUUCAGGCGCGAAUAACGUCCUGGACUGACGGUACCUCCAGAAGAAGCCCCGGCUAACUACGUGCCAGCCGCCGCAGUAAAAC
rnacentral:rRNA from 1 species